CAGCAGCCACGGUAAUACGUAGGGUGCGAGCGUUAAUCGGAAUUACUGGGCGUAAAGCGUGCGCAGGCGGUUAUGUAAGACAGAUGUGAAAUCCCCGGGCUCAACCUGGGAACUGCAUUUGUGACUGCAUGGCUAGAGUACGGUAGAGGGGGAUGGAAUUCCGCGUGUAGCAGUGAAAUGCGUAGAGAUGUGGAGGAACACCGAUGGCGAAGGCAGCCCCCUGGGCCAAUACUGACGCUCAUGCACGAAAGCGUGGGGAGCAAACAGGAUUAGAUACCCCUGUAGUCCCUGUCUCUUAUAC
rnacentral:rRNA from 1 species